UGACCACGCGAUGAAAUUUGGACA
rnacentral:miRNA from 1 species